GCCGACAUCGCAUAGUGGUAUUGCAACUGGCUUGAGACCAGUGCCCUUCGGGGCCCCCCGGUUCGAUUCCGGGUGUCGGCG
rnacentral:tRNA from 3 species